rnacentral:rRNA from 1 species
GGGGAAUUUUCCGCAAUGGGCUAAAGCCUGACGGAGCAAUACCGCGUGAGGGAUGAAUGCCUAUGGGUUGUAAACCUCUUUUUUCAGGGAGGAACAAAUGACGUGUACCUGAAGAAUAAGCAUCGGCUAACUCCGUGCCAGCAGCCGCGGUAAGACGGAGGAUGCAAGUGUUAUCCGGAAUCACUGGGCGUAAAGCGUCUGUAGGUGGUUUAAUAAGUCAACUGUUAAAUCUUGAGGCCCAACCUCGAAACCGCAGUCGAAACUAUUAGACUAGAGUAUAGUAGGGGUAAAGGGAAUUUCCAGUGGAGCGGUGAAAUGCGUAGAGAUUGGAAAGAACACCGAUGGCGAAGGCACUUUACUGGGCUAUUACUGACACUCAGAGACGAAAGCUAGGGUAGCAAAUGGGAUUAGAUACCCCAGUAGUC